CUGGCUGCCGAAAGGGGUCGGCGUGCAGUCAGAAGCUGCAUUAAUCUUGUGUCCAUGUUGCUCAAAGGAGAAUAUGGCUAUGAGAG
rnacentral:sRNA from 1 species